rnacentral:rRNA from 1 species
UACGUAGGGUGCAAGCGUUGUCCGGAAUUAUUGGGCGUAAAGAGCUCGUAGGCGGUCUGUCGCGUCGGCUGUGAAAACUCGGGGCUCAACCCCGAGCCUGCAGUCGAUACGGGCAGACUAGAGUGCUGUAGGGGAGACUGGAAUUCCUGGUGUAGCGGUGAAAUGCGCAGAUAUCAGGAGGAACACCGGUGGCGAAGGCAGGUCUCUGGGCAUUAACUGACGCUGAGGAGCGAAAGCAUGGGGAGCGAACAGG